CCUACGGGACGCAGCAGUGGGGAAUAUUGGACAAUGGGCGAAAGCCUGAUCCAGCCAUGCCGCGUGUGUGAAGAAGGCCUUCGGGUUGUAAAGCACUUUCAGUGGGGAAGAAAGCCUUGGGGCUAAUACCCUCGAGGAAGGACAUCACCCACAGAAGAAGCACCGGCUAACUCCGUGCCAGCAGCCGCGGUAAUACGGAGGGUGCGAGCGUUAAUCGGAAUUACUGGGCGUAAAGCGCGCGUAGGCGGUCUGAUAAGCCGGUUGUGAAAGCCCCGGGCUCAACCUGGGAACGGCAUCCGGAACUGUCAGGCUAGAGUGCAGGAGAGGAAGGUAGAAUUCCCGGUGUAGCGGUGAAAUGCGUAGAGAUCGGGAGGAAUACCAGUGGCGAAGGCGGCCUUCUGGACUGACACUGACGCUGAGGUGCGAAAGCGUGGGUAGCAAACAGGAUUAGAUACCCUGGUAGUC
rnacentral:rRNA from 1 species